AAUCCAUGUUGUGCGCACUUCUGUAAAAGAUCCUUGAAUCACUCCUAUGUCUUAAACAAGAAUUCGAGCUCUAUCUGAACAAAUGAUGAUAUCUCAUUGCAAAGCUU